rnacentral:rRNA from 1 species
UUAAGCGACUAAGCGUACACGGUGGAUGCCCUGGCAGUCAGAGGCGAUGAAGGACGUGCUAAUCUGCGAUAAGCGUCGGUGAGGUGAUAUGAACCGUUAUAACCGGCGAUUUCCGAAUGGGGAAACCCAGUGUGUUUCGACACACUAUCAUUAACUGAAUCCAUAGGUUAAUGAGGCGAACCGGGGGAACUGAAACAUCUAAGUACCCCGAGGAAAAGAAAUCAACCGAGAUUCCCCCAGUAGCGGCGAGCGAACGGGGAGGAGCCCAGAGCCUGAAUCAGUGUGUGUGUUAGUGGAAGCGUCUGGAAAGGCGCGCGAUACAGGGUGACAGCCCCGUACACAAAAAUGCACAUACUGUGAGCUCGAUGAGUAGGGCGGGACACGUGGUAUCCUGUCUGAAUAUGGGGGGACCAUCCUCCAAGGCUAAAUACUCCUGACUGACCGAUAGUGAACCAGUACCGUGAGGGAAAGGCGAAAAGAACCCCGGCGAGGGGAGUGAAAAAGAACCUGAAACCGUGUACGUACAAGCAGUGGGAGCCUCUUUAUGGGGUGACUGCGUACCUUUUGUAUAAUGGGUCAGCGACUUAUAUUCUGUAGCAAGGUUAACCGAAUAGGGGAGCCGAAGGGAAACCGAGUCUUAACUGGGCGUUAAGUUGCAGGGUAUAGACCCGAAACCCGGUGAUCUAGCCAUGGGCAGGUUGAAGGUUGGGUAACACUAACUGGAGGACCGAACCGACUAAUGUUGAAAAAUUAGCGGAUGACUUGUGGCUGGGGGUGAAAGGCCAAUCAAACCGGGAGAUAGCUGGUUCUCCCCGAAAGCUAUUUAGGUAGCGCCUCGUGAAUUCAUCUCCGGGGGUAGAGCACUGUUUCGGCAAGGGGGUCAUCCCGACUUACCAACCCGAUGCAAACUGCGAAUACCGGAGAAUGUUAUCACGGGAGACACACGGCGGGUGCUAACGUCCGUCGUGAAGAGGGAAACAACCCAGACCGCCAGCUAAGGUCCCAAAGUCAUGGUUAAGUGGGAAACGAUGUGGGAAGGCCCAGACAGCCAGGAUGUUGGCUUAGAAGCAGCCAUCAUUUAAAGAAAGCGUAAUAGCUCACUGGUCGAGUCGGCCUGCGCGGAAGAUGUAACGGGGCUAAACCAUGCACCGAAGCUGCGGCAGCGACACUAAGUGUUGUUGGGUAGGGGAGCGUUCUGUAAGCCUGUGAAGGUGUGCUGUGAGGUAUGCUGGAGGUAUCAGAAGUGCGAAUGCUGACAUAAGUAACGAUAAAGCGGGUGAAAAGCCCGCUCGCCGGAAGACCAAGGGUUCCUGUCCAACGUUAAUCGGGGCAGGGUGAGUCGACCCCUAAGGCGAGGCCGAAAGGCGUAGUCGAUGGGAAACAGGUUAAUAUUCCUGUACUUGGUGUUACUGCGAAGGGGGGACGGAGAAGGCUAUGUUGGCCGGGCGACGGUUGUCCCGGUUUAAGCGUGUAGGCUGAUUUUCCAGGCAAAUCCGGAAAAUCAAGGCUGAGGCGUGAUGACGAGGCACUACGGUGCUGAAGCAACAAAUGCCCUGCUUCCAGGAAAAGCCUCUAAGCAUCAGGUAACAUCAAAUCGUACCCCAAACCGACACAGGUGGUCAGGUAGAGAAUACCAAGGCGCUUGAGAGAACUCGGGUGAAGGAACUAGGCAAAAUGGUGCCGUAACUUCGGGAGAAGGCACGCUGAUAUGUAGGUGAAGUCCCUUGCUCGUGGAGCUGAAAUCAGUCGAAGAUACCAGCUGGCUGCAACUGUUUAUUAAAAACACAGCACUGUGCAAACACGAAAGUGGACGUAUACGGUGUGACGCCUGCCCGGUGCCGGAAGGUUAAUUGAUGGGGUUAGCGGUAACGCGAAGCUCUUGAUCGAAGCCCCGGUAAACGGCGGCCGUAACUAUAACGGUCCUAAGGUAGCGAAAUUCCUUGUCGGGUAAGUUCCGACCUGCACGAAUGGCGUAAUGAUGGCCAGGCUGUCUCCACCCGAGACUCAGUGAAAUUGAACUCGCUGUGAAGAUGCAGUGUACCCGCGGCAAGACGGAAAGACCCCGUGAACCUUUACUAUAGCUUGACACUGAACAUUGAGCCUUGAUGUGUAGGAUAGGUGGGAGGCUUUGAAGUGUGGACGCCAGUCUGCAUGGAGCCGGCCUUGAAAUACCACCCUUUAAUGUUUGAUGUUCUAACGUUGGCCCCUGAUCGGGGUUGCGGACAGUGUCUGGUGGGUAGUUUGACUGGGGCGGUCUCCUCCUAAAGAGUAACGGAGGAGCACGAAGGUUGGCUAAUCCUGGUCGGACAUCAGGAGGUUAGUGCAAUGGCAUAAGCCAGCUUGACUGCGAGCGUGACGGCGCGAGCAGGUGCGAAAGCAGGUCAUAGUGAUCCGGUGGUUCUGAAUGGAAGGGCCAUCGCUCAACGGAUAAAAGGUACUCCGGGGAUAACAGGCUGAUACCGCCCAAGAGUUCAUAUCGACGGCGGUGUUUGGCACCUCGAUGUCGGCUCAUCACAUCCUGGGGCUGAAGUAGGUCCCAAGGGUAUGGCUGUUCGCCAUUUAAAGUGGUACGCGAGCUGGGUUUAGAACGUCGUGAGACAGUUCGGUCCCUAUCUGCCGUGGGCGCUGGAGAACUGAGGGGGGCUGCUCCUAGUACGAGAGGACCGGAGUGGACGCAUCACUGGUGUUCGGGUUGUCAUGCCAAUGGCACUGCCCGGUAGCUAAAUGCGGAAGAGAUAAGUGCUGAAAGCAUCUAAGCACGAAACUUGCCCCGAGAUGAGUUCUCCCUGACUCCUUGAGAGUCCUGAAGGAACGUUGAAGACGACGACGUUGAUAGGCCGGGUGUGUAAGCGCAGCGAUGCGUUGAGCUAACCGGUACUAAUGAACCGUGAGGCUUAACCUU